CUCCUACGGGAGGCAGCAGUGAGGAAUAUUGGUCAAUGGGCGGAAGCCUGAACCAGCCAUGCCGCGUGCAGGAAGACGGCCCUACGGGUUGUAAACUGCUUUUCUGCGGGAAGAACGGCCCCCACGGGAUGGGGGUAUGACGGUACCGCAGGAAUAAGGAUCGGCUAACUCCGUGCCAGCAGCCGCGGUAAUACGGAGGAUCCGAGCGUUAUCCGGAUUUACUGGGUUUAAAGGGUGCGUAGGCUGUUCGCUCAGUCAGCGGUGAAAUGGCGCGGCUCAACCGUGCAGCUGCCGUUGAAACUGGCGAGCUUGAGUGGGUUCGAGGCAGGCGGAAUGCGCGGUGUAGCGGUGAAAUGCAUAGAUAUCGCGCAGAACGCCAAUAGCGUAGGCAGCUUGCCAGGCCCCAACUGACGCUGAGGCACGAAAGCGUGGGGAUCAAACAGGAUUAGAUACCCUGGUAGUCCACGCCGUAAACGAUGAUAGCUCGCUGUUGGCGAUACACUGCCAGCGGCUCAGCGAAAGCGGUAAGCUAUCCACCUGGGGAGUACGGCCGCAAGGCUGAAACUCAAAGGAAUUGACGGGGGCCCGCACAAGCGGAGGAACA
rnacentral:rRNA from 1 species